rfam:Picea glauca, whole genome shotgun sequence.
UCUUAUGUACAUGCCUACAACAUAGCGUUAAUGCACCAGAUCCCAUUAUAACUCUGUAUUUAAGUGUGUUUGGGCUAGAGUAGUACCGGGAUGGGUGACCACCUGGGAAUUCCUAGUGUUUUACAUGCU